GAUGAACGCUGGCGGCGUGCCUAAUACAUGCAAGUCGAGCGAACAGACGAGGAGCUUGCUCCUCUGACGUUAGCGGCGGACGGGUGAGUAACACGUGGAUAACCUACCUAUAAGACUGGGAUAACUUCGGGAAACCGGAGCUAAUACCGGAUAAUAUAUUGAACCGCAUGGUUCAAUAGUGAAAGACGGUUUUGCUGUCACUUAUAGAUGGAUCCGCGCCGCAUUAGCUAGUUGGUAAGGUAACGGCUUACCAAGGCGACGAUGCGUAGCCGACCUGAGAGGGUGAUCGGCCACCCUGGAGCUGGGACACGGUCCAGACUCCUACGGGAGGCAGCAGUAGGGAAUCUUCCGCAAUGGGCGAAAGCCUGACGGAGCAACGCCGCGUGAGUGAUGAAGGUCUUCGGAUCGUAAAACUCUGUUAUUAGGGAAGAACAAAUGUGUAAGUAACUAUGCACGUCUUGACGGUACCUAAUCAGAAAGCAACGGCUAACUACGUG
rnacentral:rRNA from 1 species